GGGUCAGUAGCUCAGUUGGUAGAGCAACAGCCUUUUAAGCUGAUGGUCCCGGGUUCGACUCCCGGCUGACCCACCA
rnacentral:tRNA from 2 species